rnacentral:tRNA from 2 species
GCGGUCGUGGCGGAAUUGGUAGACGCACUACCUUGAGGUGGUAGCGCUGGAAACGGCGUGGAAGUUCGAGUCUUCUCGUCCGCACCA